CGGGACACGUGGUAUCCUGUCUGAAUAUGGGGGGACCAUCCUCCAAGGCUAAAUACUCCUGACUGACCGAUAGUGAACCAGUACCGUGAGGGAAAGGCGAAAAGAACCCCGGCGAGGGGAGUGAAAAAGAACCUGAAACCGUGUACGUACAAGCAGUGGGAGCACGCUUAGGCGUGUGACUGCGUACCUUUUGUAUAAUGGGUCAGCGACUUAUAUUCUGUAGCAAGGUUAACCGAAUAGGGGAGCCGAAGGGAAACCGAGUCUUAACUGGGCGUUAAGUUGCAGGGUAUAGACCCGAAACCCGGUGAUCUAGCCAUGGGCAGGUUGAAGGUUGGGUAACACUAACUGGAGGACCGAACCGACUAAUGUUGAAAAAUUAGCGGAUGACUUGUGGCUGGGGGUGAAAGGCCAAUCAAACCGGGAGAUAGCUGGUUCUCCCCGAAAGCUAUUUAGGUAGCGCCUCGUGAAUUCAUCUCCGGGGGUAGAGCACUGUUUCGGCAAGGGGGUCAUCCCGACUUACCAACCCGAUGCAAACUGCGAAUACCGGAGAAUGUUAUCACGGGAGACACACGGCGGGUGCUAACGUCCGUCGUGAAGAGGGAAACAACCCAGACCGCCAGCUAAGGUCCCAAAGUCAUGGUUAAGUGGGAAACGAUGUGGGAAGGCCCAGACAGCCAGGAUGUUGGCUUAGAAGCAGCCAUCAUUUAAAGAAAGCGUAAUAGCUCACUGGUCGAGUCGGCCUGCGCGGAAGAUGUAACGGGGCUAAACCAUGCACCGAAGCUGCGGCAGCGACGCUGAUGCGUUGUUGGGUAGGGGAGCGUUCUGUAAGCCUGUGAAGGUGUGCUGUGAGGCAUGCUGGAGGUAUCAGAAGUGCGAAUGCUGACAUAAGUAACGAUAAAGCGGGUGAAAAGCCCGCUCGCCGGAAGACCAAGGGUUCCUGUCCAACGUUAAUCGGGGCAGGGUGAGUCGACCCCUAAGGCGAGGCCGAAAGGCGUAGUCGAUGGGAAACAGGUUAAUAUUCCUGUACUUGGUGUUACUGCGAAGGGGGGACGGAGAAGGCUAUGUUGGCCGGGCGACGGUUGUCCCGGUUUAAGCGUGUAGGCUGGUUUUCCAGGCAAAUCCGGAAAAUCAAGGCUGAGGCGUGAUGACGAGGCACUACGGUGCUGAAGCAACAAAUGCCCUGCUUCCAGGAAAAGCCUCUAAGCAUCAGGUAACAUCAAAUCGUACCCCAAACCGACACAGGUGGUCAGGUAGAGAAUACCAAGGCGCUUGAGAGAACUCGGGUGAAGGAACUAGGCAAAAUGGUGCCGUAACUUCGGGAGAAGGCACGCUGAUAUGUAGGUGAAGCGACUUGCUCGUGGAGCUGAAAUCAGUCGAAGAUACCAGCUGGCUGCAACUGUUUAUUAAAAACACAGCACUGUGCAAACACGAAAGUGGACGUAUACGGUGUGACGCCUGCCCGGUGCCGGAAGGUUAAUUGAUGGGGUCAGCGCAAGCGAAGCUCUUGAUCGAAGCCCCGGUAAACGGCGGCCGUAACUAUAACGGUCCUAAGGUAGCGAAAUUCCUUGUCGGGUAAGUUCCGACCUGCACGAAUGGCGUAAUGAUGGCCAGGCUGUCUCCACCCGAGACUCAGUGAAAUUGAACUCGCUGUGAAGAUGCAGUGUACCCGCGGCAAGACGGAAAGACCCCGUGAACCUUUACUAUAGCUUGACACUGAACAUUGAGCCUUGAUGUGUAGGAUAGGUGGGAGGCUUUGAAGUGUGGACGCCAGUCUGCAUGGAGCCGGCCUUGAAAUACCACCCUUUAAUGUUUGAUGUUCUAACGUUGACCCGUGAUCCGGGUUGCGGACAGUGUCUGGUGGGUAGUUUGACUGGGGCGGUCUCCUCCUAAAGAGUAACGGAGGAGCACGAAGGUUGGCUAAUCCUGGUCGGACAUCAGGAGGUUAGUGCAAUGGCAUAAGCCAGCUUGACUGCGAGCGUGACGGCGCGAGCAGGUGCGAAAGCAGGUCAUAGUGAUCCGGUGGUUCUGAAUGGAAGGGCCAUCGCUCAACGGAUAAAAGGUACUCCGGGGAUAACAGGCUGAUACCGCCCAAGAGUUCAUAUCGACGGCGGUGUUUGGCA
rnacentral:rRNA from 1 species